AGGACGAACGCUGGCGGCGUGCUUAACACAUGCAAGUCGAGCGGAAAGGCCCUUCGGGGUACUCGAGCGGCGAACGGGUGAGUAACACGUGAGGAACCUGCCCUUAACUCUGGGAUAGCUUCGGGAAACCGGAAUUAAUACCGGAUAUGACUGCGAUCGGCAUCGAUCGUGGUGGAAAGAUUUAUCGGUUAGGGAUGGACUCGCGGCCUAUCAGCUUGUUGGUGAGGUAACGGCUCACCAAGGCGACGACGGGUAGCCGGCCUGAGAGGGCGACCGGCCACACUGGGACUGAGACACGGCCCAGACUCCUACGGGAGGCAGCAGUGGGGAAUAUUGCGCAAUGGGCGAAAGCCUGACGCAGCAACGCCGCGUGGGGGAUGAAUGUCUUCGGAUUGUAAACCCCUUUCAGCAGGGACGAAGCGAAAGUGACGGUACCUGCAGAAGAAGCGCCGGCUAACUACGCGCCAGCAGCCGC
rnacentral:rRNA from 1 species